UACACGGUAGCUGUCUUCAGACACACCAGAAGAGAGCAU
rnacentral:piRNA from 1 species